rnacentral:piRNA from 1 species
UGCUAUAACAAAGAGACCCCAAAUGACAGC